UACGAAGGGUGCAAACGUUGCUCGGAAUUGUUGGGCGUAAAGCGCACGUAGGCGGCUUUGCAAGUCCGAUGUGAAAUCCCACGGCUCAACCAUGGAAGUGCAUCGGAAACUGCAGAGCUUGAGUACGAAAGAGGAUCGCGGAAUUCCCGGUGUAGAGGUGAAAUUCGUAGAUAUCGGGAGGAACACCAGUGGCGAAGGCGGCGAUCUGGGUCGAUACUGACGCUGAGGUGCGAAAGCGUGGGGAGCAAACAGG
rnacentral:rRNA from 1 species